GUCACGCGUUGCGGUGGCUACCAUGCAGUCGAACGGCAGCACAGGAGAGCUUGCUCUCUGGGUGGCGAGUGGCGGACGGGUGAGGAAUACAUCGGAAUCUACCUUUUCGUGGGGGAUAACGUAGGGAAACUUACGCUAAUACCGCAUACGACCUACGGGUGAAAGUGGGGGACCGCAAGGCCUCACGCGAUUAGAUGAGCCGAUGUCCGAUUAGCUAGUUGGCGGGGUAAUGGCCCACCAAGGCGACGAUCGGUAGCUGGUCUGAGAGGAUGAUCAGCCACACUGGAACUGAGACACGGUCCAGACUCCUACGGGAGGCAGCAGUGGGGAAUAUUGGACAAUGGGCGCAAGCCUGAUCCAGCCAUACCGCGUGGGUGAAGAAGGCCUUCGGGUUGUAAAGCCCUUUUGUUGGGAAAGAAAUCCUGUCGAUUAAUACUCGGUGGGGAUGACGGUACCCAAAGAAUAAGCACCGGCUAACUUCGUGCCAGCAGCCGCGGUAAUACGAAGGGUGCAAGCGUUACUCGGAAUUACUGGGCGUAAAGCGUGCGUAGGUGGUGGUUUAAGUCUGCUGUGAAAGCCCUGGGCUCAACCUGGGAAUUGCAGUGGAUACUGGAUCACUAGAGUGUGGUAGAGGGAUGCGGAAUUUCUGGUGUAGCAGUGAAAUGCGUAGAGAUCAGAAGGAACAUCCGUGGCGAAGGCGGCAUCCUGUGCCAACACUGACACUGAGGCACGAAAGCGUGGGGAGUUAACAGGAUUAGAUACCCUGGUAGUCCACGCCCUAAACGAUGCCAACUG
rnacentral:rRNA from 1 species